AGCCCCUCCUGCGGACCAGCUACCCGGGGAGCAAGCACAUCGCUCCGCACGGCUCUUCCACCAGCCGCGGAGCAGUCCCUUCUCGCCAUGUCCCAGAGCAGGUACCCGCCGAGGCUCUGCCUCUGGAGCGCGAGGACAGUGGGACCUUCAGUUUGGGGAAGAUGAUAACAGCUAUGCCAGGGAAAACACCGAUUCAGGUAUUACACGAAUACGGCAUGAAGACCAAGAACAUCCCAGUUUAUGAAUGUGAAAGAUCUGAUGUGCAAAUACACGUGCCCACUUUCACCUUCAGAGUAACCGUUGGUGACAUAACCUGCAGAGAUGAAGGUACAAGUAAGAAGCUGGUGAAACAUAGAGCUGCAGAGGCUGCCAUAAACAUUUUGAAAGACAAUGCAAGUAUUUGCUUUGCAGUUCCUGACCCCUUAAUGUCUGACCCUUCCAAACAACCAAAGAACCAGCUUAAUCCUAUUGGUUCUUUACAGGAAUUGGCUUUUCAUCAUGGCUGGAGACUUCCUGAAUAUACCCUUUCCCAGGAGGGAGGACCUGCUCAUAAGAGAGAAUAUACCACAGUUUGCAGGCUAGAGUCAUUUAUGGAAACUGGAAAGGGGGCAUCAAAAAAGCAAGCCAAAAGGAGUGCUGCUGAGAAAUUUCUCGCCAAAUUUAGUAAUAUUUCUCCAGAGAACCACAUUUCUUUAACAAAUGUAGUGGGACAUUCUUUAGGAUGUACUUGGCAUUCCUUGAGGAAUUCUCCUGGUGAAAAGAUCAACUUACUGAAAAGAAGCCUCCUUAGUAUUCCAAAUACAGAUUACAUCCAGCCGCUUAGUGAAAUUGCCAAGGAACAAGGUUUUAAUAUAACAUAUUUGGAUAUAGAUAAACUGAGCGCCAAUGGACAGUAUCAAUGUCUUGCUGAACUGUCCACCAACCUCAUCACGGUCUGUCAUGGCUCCGGUAUCUCCUGCAGCAAUGCAUAAAGUGAUGCAGCUCACAAUACUUUG